rfam:Balearica pavonina gibbericeps contig5922, whole genome shotgun sequence.
GGUCUGUGAUGAAUAGUAAAAGGUAUGAUUAUCCUAAGACUUGCACUUCCAUGACCUUUUCUCCCAGCAGUUUCUCGCCAGUCCUGGCACAGUAGUGGCGUGGCUGGCAGAGUGUUUGCUGACAGCUUGUGAUGUGCUCAGUUCAUGUUCACCUGAAGUAUCAGAGACAUGACUAGGAUCAGCAUCCAACAGUCCUACUUGAAGGAGUUUGGGGUCUUGGACUGUUAGAACUGGAUUUGUGAUCUGACUUUUCUGCUGAGACC